UUUCACCGUCCAGGUUUACUAUAGACCUGAUUUAGUCCGGCUAUGAGUAACCCACUUCUAGCCGCAAUUUUACAUGUGGUUACAGGACGUUUUUGCCAAACUAACUUACAAUGUAUAUGAUAUUCCAUCAUUUAAGCAAGGUCUACAGUGAUUAUAACUUUUUUAUUUUAUUUCUUACACAUGAUUUACGUGCAGCCUGUGCGUAGACACGAUUUAAUUCGUAGACAGACACCUGUUGUAGCCCACUUCUAGUCAAUAGUCAAAAAUGAUUAAAAGCGGGUUUUUGCCCUGGCAGCACGUGCAUUAUUUUUGCAAUGUCAAUAAUAUCAACAACAUUUUAAGUGUCGUUAAAUUGACAUGGUCUAGCUGUAGCCACGAUUUAGCUCUUAUUUGGACAGGCUAGGUGUAGUCGGCUUUUAGACCCACCCGGUGAAAUAGAGGCAAUUAGUGGUCUAAUAUCAACGGCUUGGCCGUAGCCCUGUUUCAGACCAAAUUGGUUACAUGUAGUUUUCACCCAUGCAGCUGUUGAGGUGCGUGAUAUCAUUUUAUCAAAUGCAAGUAAACAUUGAAACAUUUUAAUUAUCUUUAUUUUCGCUGCAACGUUCCCAGCAUUAAUUUUCAUUUUAAUUUAAAACAAAAUGCAAUUACUAUUUUCAACCGCUAGAUGGCAGCUGUAGCUGUGACUACUGGCAACGCGAGACUUGAAAGUUAGACAUCAGGGACGGCCAGAUCUCGCGAUAAAGACAUCCGCCAUUUUUAAACGAGGGAUACGUUAAGAUUUCGGUCUUUCAGCGAGCAACCGUCGAGAGUUUACUGCAAACACUGGAAGCGAAAAGACAUUUACUUUGGUCUUUUCCCAUUUACCUGAGAGACUGGCGCCAACCGGGAGACCCAUCUGAUGCUCUUCCUGCAUCAAGUACCAGCGUAGAUGAAGAUCUAGAUUUGGAUGUAGCCAACCAAUUUAUUUUAUCAUUAUUUAUGUUUUUAUUACUGCAUAUUGUUAAAAUUGUUAGUAUUUUCAUAUAAACUUUUGUAUUUAUAAUAUUUUAGCAAUAAUUCCUUUAUAUUUUCAUCAUGUUGUAUUAUCUUAAGUUGUCUACAUUGUAAUCCUUUUUCUUAAUAAAAUCUUUAUAUUUAAUUUGUUUGGACGGAUUACCAUUUGUGAGAACCUGUUUUGUUUGAGUAAAAACAAUCCUUUAGCCACUA